rnacentral:rRNA from 2 species
GGUCAAGCUACAAAGAGCCUACGGUGGAUACCUAGGCACACAGAGGCGAUGAAGGACGUGGAUACCGACGAUACGCUUCGGGGAGCUGGAAACAAGCUUUGAUCCGGAGAUUUCCGAAUGGGGCAACCCAGUGACUCUAACGCCAAUCCAUAACGUUAGAGGGCGAACCUGGCGAACUGAAACAUCUUAGUAGCCAGAGGAAAAGAAAGAAAACUCGAUUCCCUUAGUAGCGGCGAGCGAAAGGGGAACAGCCUAAACCAACGGGCUUGCCUGUUGGGGUCGUGGGACAGCAACGUGGAAUUGAGCGGCUAGACGAAGUAGUGGAAUGCUACACCAGAGAAGGUGAAAGUCCUGUAGUCAAAAGCUUAACAAUCCUAGCUGUAUCCCGAGUAGUCCGGAGCACGUGGAAUUCCGGAUGAAUCUGCGAGGACCACCUCGUAAGGCUAAAUACUCCUGUGUGACCGAUAGCGCAUAGUACCGCGAGGGAAAGGUGAAAAGAACCCCGGAAGGGGAGUGAAAUAGAACAUGAAACCGUAGGCUUACAAGCAGUCGAAGCUCGAUUUAACGAGUGACGGCGUGCCUGUUGAAGAAUGAGCCGGCGACUUAUAGGUACUGGCAGGUUAAGGCAAGAAUGCCGAAGCCAUAGCGAAAGCGAGUCUGAAUAGGGCGUUUGUCAGUAUUUAUAGACCCGAACCCGGGUGAUCUAACCAUGGCCAGAAUGAAGCUUGGGUAACACCAAGUGAAGGUUCGCACCGACCGAUGUUGAAAAAUCGGCGGAUGAGCUGUGGUUAGGGGUGAAAUGCCAAUCGAACCCGGAGCUAGCUGGUUCUCCCCGAAAUAUGUUGAGGCAUAGCGGUUGUGAUUAUAGCAGGGGGGUAAAGCACUGAUUCGGUGCGGGCUGCGAGAGCGGUACCAAAUCGAGUCAAACUCUGAAUACCCUGUGUACACACAGCCAGUCAGACGGUGGGGGAUAAGCUUCAUCGUCGAGAGGGAAACAGCCCAGACCACCAGCUAAGGUCCCUAAAUCAUCACUAAGUGGCAAAGGAGGUGGGGAUGCUCAGACAACCAGGAGGUUUGCCUAGAAGCAGCCAUCCUUAAAAGAGUGCGUAAUAGCUCACUGGUCAAGCGUUCCUGCGCCGAAAAUGAACGGGACUAAGUGAUGUACCGAAGCUGUGGACUUACUACGUAAGUGGUAGGGGAGCGUUCUGCAUUAGUUUGAAGCACUAGCGUAAGCAGGUGUGGACGAGGCAGAAGUGAGAAUGUCGGCUUGAGUAGCGAAAACAUUGGUGAGAAUCCAAUGCCCCGAAACCCCAAGGGUUCCUUCGGAAGGCUCGUCCGCGAAGGGUUAGUCGGGACCUAAGGCGAGGCCGAAAGGCGUAGUCGAUGGACAACUGGUCAAUACUCCAGUACUCAUCUUGGUUCGUGCAGAGGGACGGAGAAGGCUAGAUCAGCCGGAUGUUGGUUACCGGUUCAACUGUCCGAGGUGUUGAGGAGCGGUGAAAACGCUCUGAGCUGAGGCAGGAGUACGACCCACUACGGUGGGGAAGUGAUUGAUGUCAUGCUUCCAAGAAAAGCUCUAAGCACGUUAAGCCAAGAUACCCGUACCCGAAACCGACACAGGUGGGGGGGUAGAGUAUACCAAGGGGCGCGAGAUAACUCUCUCUAAGGAACUCGGCAAAAUGGCCCCGUAACUUCGGGAGAAGGGGUGCCACCGAGAGGUGGUCGCAGUGAAGAGGCCCAGGCGACUGUUUACCAAAAACACAGGUCUCCGCUAAGUCGUAAGACGAUGUAUGGGGGCUGACGCCUGCCCAGUGCCGGAAGGUUAAGGAAGCUGGUCAGCGCAAGCGAAGCUGGCGACCGAAGCCCCGGUGAACGGCGGCCGUAACUAUAACGGUCCUAAGGUAGCGAAAUUCCUUGUCGGGUAAGUUCCGACCCGCACGAAAGGCGUAACGAUCUGGGCGCUGUCUCGGAGAGAGGCUCGGCGAAAUAGAAGUGUCUGUGAAGAUGCGGACUACCUGCACCCGGACAGAAAGACCCUAUGAAGCUUUACUGUAGCCUGGAAUUGGGUUCGGGCUUUGCUUGCGCAGGAUAGGUGGGAGACGUUGAAGUAUCCCUUGUGGGGGAUAUGGAGUCGCCGGUGAGAUACCACUCUGGCAAGGCUAGAAUUCUAACCUUCUGCUGUUAGCCAGCGAAGGAACAGUUUCAGGUGGGCAGUUUGACUGGGGCGGUCGCCUCCUAAAUGGUAACGGAGGCGCGCAAAGGUUCCCUCAGGCUGGUCGGAAAUCAGCCGUAGAGUGCAAAGGCAUAAGGGAGCUUGACUGCAAGACCUACAAGUCGAGCAGAGACGAAAGUCGGCCUUAGUGAUCCGACGGUUCCGCGUGGAAGGGCCGUCGCUCAACGGAUAAAAGUUACUCUAGGGAUAACAGGCUGAUCUCCCCCAAGAGUUCACAUCGACGGGGAGGUUUGGCACCUCGAUGUCGGCUCAUCGCAACCUGGGGCGGUAGUACGUCCCAAGGGUUGGGCUGUUCGCCCAUUAAAGCGGUACGUGAGCUGGGUUCAGAACGUAAAUCAUUGCGUCACUUCACAGUAAUGUGGAGCAGCAAACCGACUAAAAUCGGUAGAAUCUUAAUCAGUGACGAACGGCUGAUUAAGACAAUACCGAGGGUAAGCAAGAGUCUCGUGACAGAUGAUUUAACGCUGAGUUACAUUGCUGGUUUUUUGGAUGGUGAUGGUUGCAUUAAUCUACAACUGGUGCGACGUAAGGAUUACGUCCUUGGUUAUCAAAUUCGCGCUAGCAUCACUUUCUUUCAGUCUUCUUCGCAUCGUUCCUUCUUGGAGUGGUUAAAGUCUAUUUUCCAAGCAGGGUUUGUGAGAGACCGAAAAGAUGGCUUAAGCGAGUAUGCAAUUGUUGAUGCGCCAUCUGUCUUAGAAGUGCUGCUAACUCUUCGCAGCUACCUUAAACUCAAGAAGCCACAAUGUGAUUUAGCAAUUACUGUUCUACAGGAAGUUGUUCAAUCAAGGCGAUUAACGCCAGAACAAUUCCUAAAACUUGCUCAGCAGGUGGAUCAAUUUGGUGAACUGAAUGCUUCCAAAAAGCGUUCGAUUCGCUCUGAUCAAGUGGAGCAGUUUCUGAGAUCACGACAACUCUUGAUCCCGUAGAGACUGAAGCCUAGGCUUGAGUUAGCCAUCAAGCGUAAGCUGAGAUGUUCUGAAGUUGUCAGAGACAUCAAAUGUCGGCUCCUGAUUCGUUAGUGGCGAGAGUCAGGAUGAAGAUAUAGUCCAUGCUCGUAGUGAUACGAGAACAACAUGCGUGAGACAGUUCGGUCCAUAUCCGGUGCAGGCGUAGGAGCAUUGAGAGGAGUCCUCCUUAGUACGAGAGGACCGGGAGGAACGCACCUCUGGUGUACCUGUUAUCGUGCCAACGGUAAACGCAGGGUAGCCAUGUGCGGAGUGGAUAACCGCUGAAAGCAUCUAAGUGGGAAGCCCACCUCAAGAUGAGUGCUCCCAUGGCAUAAGCCAGUAAGGUCACGGGUAGAACACCCGUUAAUAGGCUCUCGAUGGAAGUCCAGUAAUGGAUGAAGUCUAGGAGUACUAAUAGACCGAGGGCUUGACCUC